AACGAGCGCUGGCGGCAGGCUUAACACAUGCAAGUCGAGCGCCCCGCAAGGGGAGCGGCAGACGGGUGAGUAACGCGUGGGAAUCUACCUAGCUCUACGGAAUAACCAUUGGAAACGAUGGCUAAUACCGCAUCCGCCCUUCGGGGGACAGAUUUAUCGCUUCCAGAUCGGCCCGCGUCCGAUUAGCUAGUUGGUGAGGUAACGGCUAACCAAGGCGACGAUCGGUAGCUGGUUUGAGAGGAUGACCAGCCACACUGGGACUGAGACACGGCCCAGACUCCUACGGGAGGCAGCAGUGGGGAAUAUUGCGCAAUGGGGGCAACCCUGACGCAGCCAUGCCGCGUGAGUGAAGAAGGCCUUCGGGUUGUAAAGCUCUUUCGGAUGUGACGAUGAUGACGGUAACAUCAGAAGAAGCCCCGGCUAACUUCGUGCCAGCCGCCGCAGUAAUAC
rnacentral:rRNA from 1 species